UACGUAGGGUGCGAGCGUUGUCCGGAAUUAUUGGGCGUAAAGAGCUUGUAGGCGGUUUGUCGCGUCUGCUGUGAAAAUCCGGGGCUCAACCCCGGACUUGCAGUGGGUACGGGCAGACUAGAGUGUGGUAGGGGAGACUGGAAUUCCUGGUGUAGCGGUGGAAUGCGCAGAUAUCAGGAAGAACACCCGUGGCUAAGGCGGCUCUCUAGUACGGUACUGACGCUGAGACGCGAAAGCGUGGGGAGCGAACAGG
rnacentral:rRNA from 1 species